GGGUUGUGAGGUUAAGCGACUAAGCGUACACGGUGGAUGCCCUGGCAGUCAGAGGCGAUGAAGGGCGUGCUAAUCUGCGAUAAGCGCCGGUAAGGUGAUAUGAACCGUUAUAACCGGCGAUACCCGAAUGGGGAAACCCAGUGUGACUCGUCACACUAUCAUUAACUGAAUCCAUAGGUUAAUGAGGCGAACCGGGGGAACUGAAACAUCUAAGUACCCCGAGGAAAAGAAAUCAACCGAGAUUCCCCCUGUAGCGGCGAGCGAACGGGGAGGAGCCCAGAGCCUGAAUCAGCAUGUGUGUUAGUGGAAGCGUCUGGAAAGGCGCGCGAUACAGGGUGACAGCCCCGUACACAAAAGCGCAUGUGCUGUGAGCUCGAUGAGUAGGGCGGGACACGUGGUAUCCUGUCUGAAUAUGGGGGGACCAUCCUCCAAGGCUAAAUACUCCUGACUGACCGAUAGUGAACCAGUACCGUGAGGGAAAGGCGAAAAGAACCCCGGCGAGGGGAGUGAAAAAGAACCUGAAACCGUGUACGUACAAGCAGUGGGAGCCCCACCACUAAGCCAGUGGUGAACUCCACAUACGCAUCCUUUGCUGAGGAUACGGUUAACGGAGCGCAAGCGACGUUCAACCGCAAAAGAAGCAGAGGGGGCUUAGUGGUGG
rnacentral:rRNA from 1 species